GGGCAUUCGGUGAGGGACUGAGGCUGCUUCCACUCAUGUCAGAAGACAAAGGGGAGCCCCCUGUACAGAGACUACAAGAGAAGAGAAGAAGCAAGGGUCUGAGACGUCUGGCCAGAGGGUAGGAGAAAAAAGAAAUCCCUGAAAACGUGUCCUCAGUGGUACUUUCAUGGAUAGUGUUUUAAAGUAUGCAUCCAGAUGUCAUCUCUGCAUCAUAACAAAUCAACCCAACUUUUGGAAUUUGGGAUAUGAUAUAUAGUUAUUUCUGAGGUUCUUUCUCUCUUAUCAACGUUAUGCUGUGUGGACAAAGUAAGCUCAAGUAUUAGGAGUGAUGGUUCAAUUUAAUUUAACUUCCAGUUAAGUACAACAAUCCAAAUGAGUUCUGGCCGAGGGCAAAGGAAGCAUGGAAUAGAGAAAAGAGGAGCAAGAGAGAAAUACAUGUAUAGCCUUGUGAAGAGUUACAGAGCAUGAAGCAAUCACAAAAUUAUGUGUCUAUUUUGUUCAUUCUUCAUCACAUGGUGUAAUACAUGGACUGGGUUUAGUCACUUAUUAGGAAAAACAUGGCUGAAAAUCUUAGUGUUUUCAACAUAGAUGGAAUAUUUUUUCUCAGCUGCCUAAUUACACGUAAGUACGUCUGUGUGUGUGUGUAUCUGUCUUUGUGAAUUAAUGAUAGAUAUGUUUUAAAUUAUGAACAAAAUAUAUGAUACACAUGAAGUCUACACUGUUUACUCACACAUUAACUAAAUCAAUGAGUCAUUAAAGAAAAAAAGUAGUUUUCACACUUAUAUAUUUCAUACUUUGUGUCCCUCAAAGUAUCUAGCACAGCGCCAUUAAUAAACUUGAUGAAACUGUGAGAAAUGAAUAAAUGCAUAUUGUCUCACUGUGAAUGAAGUGAUAUGCCUUGAAGAUAACUGUCUAGCAUUCAAAGUGAAGUCUUUUAAAAUAUAAAAUGCUGUGCUUUUUUUGUGAGGUGGCCUGUUAGCUAUAUGACUUUAACUUAAACAUGACUGCUAUCACAAGAAUGGCA
rnacentral:lncRNA from 1 species